AUCGAACGCUGGCGGCAGGCUUAACACAUGCAAGUCGAGCGGGGUGAUGGUGCUUGCACUAUCACUUAGCGGCGGACGGGUGAGUAAUGCUUAGGAAUCUGCCUAUUAGUGGGGGACAACAUCUCGAAAGGGAUGCUAAUACCGCAUACGUCCUACGGGAGAAAGCAGGGGAUCACUUGUGACCUUGCGCUGAUAGAUGAGCCUAAGUCGGAUUAGCUAGUUGGUGGGGUAAAGGCCUACCAAGGCGACGAUCUGUAGCGGGUCUGAGAGGAUGAUCCGCCACACUGGGACUUGGACACGGCCCAGACUCCUACGGGAGGCAGCAGUGGGGAAUAUUGGACAAUGGGGGGAACCCUGAUCCAGCCAUGCCGCGUGUGUGAAGAAGGCCUUAUGGUUGUAAAGCACUUUAAGCGAGGAGGAGGCUCUUUUGGUUAAUACCCAAGAUGAGUGGACGUUACUCGCAGAAUAAGCACCGGCUAACUCUGUGCCAGCCGCCGCCGUAA
rnacentral:rRNA from 1 species